GGGGGCGCAUGAACUUAGCUUGCUAAGUUUGAUGGCGACCGGCGCACGGGUGAGUAACACGUAUCCCCCCUGCCGAUGACUCGGGGAUAGCCUUUCGAAAGAAAGAUUAAUACCCGAUGGCAUAGUUCUUCCGCAUGGUGGAACUAUUAAAGAACUUCGGUCAUCGAUGGGGAUGCGUUCCAUUAGGUUGUUGGCGGGGUAACGGCCCACCAAGCCUUCGAUGGAUAGGGGUUCUGAGAGGAAGGUCCCCCACAUUGGAACUGAGACACGGUCCAAACUCCUACGGGAGGCAGCAGUGAGGAAUAUUGGUCAAUGGACGAGAGUCUGAACCAGCCAAGUAGCGUGAAGGAUGACUGCCCUAUGGGUUGUAAACUUCUUUUAUAAGGGAAUAAAGUGAGGGACGUGUCCCUUUUUGUAUGUACCUUAUGAAUAAGGAUCGGCUAACUCCGUGCCAGCAGCCGCGGUAAUACGGAGGAUCCGAGCGUUAUCCGGAUUUAUUGGGUUUAAAGGGAGCGUAGGUUGACGUAUAAGUCAGCUGUGAAAGUUUACGGCUCAACCGUGAAAUUGCAGUUGAUACUGUAUGUCUUGAGUGUACAAGAGGUGGGCGGAAUUCGUGGUGUAGCGGUGAAAUGCUUAGAUAUCACGAAGAACUCCGAUUG
rnacentral:rRNA from 1 species